GAAUUUAACAAGUUUGAAUGAUUUUUCUCCUAAAAUAACUCAAGUGAGGAAAAGAGGAGUAUUAUACAUUGACCUCCUCAAAACCCUAACAUCUGCUGCACUGGGCUGAAAUCUUGAACAAUAAACAAGAGUGAAAUUUAGGAAACAAAAUGCUUUUGGAAGCUUUGACCACAAUCAAGGGGUUGCUUUAAUCUUGCUUGCAUUGACCGUAAGCAAGAAUGUCCAGGCCUCAGCAAAAUCAUGGUGUGCUGGGAGUUGACGAAGGCCAUGGAGGAACAGGUUGGAAAUAAAGCGAUGCCUGUACUCCCACCACUUGAGAAAAAGCAGUGGCAGAAU